rnacentral:rRNA from 1 species
AUGAAUAUUCUGGCGUGGAACUGUCGAGGACUGGGGUUGGACUCGAUAGUAGGCGAAUUGAGAGACCUGAUACGGUCCUACAACCCACUGGUGGUAUUUCUUUCAGAGACAAAAAAGAAGACUCGGGCUAUGGAAAAACUUAAAUGGAGCCUAGGUUUUCGUAAUGGAGUGGCAGUGGAUAGUGUGGAUCAGAGUGGAGGUUUGGCCUUGUGGUGGCGAGACCAU